rnacentral:tRNA from 1 species
GCCUUCUUAGCUCAGCGAGAGGAGCGCGUGGCUGUCAUCCAUGUGGUCACUGGUUCUAUUCCCACAGACGGCG